rnacentral:rRNA from 1 species
GACGAAGGGGGCAAGCGUUGUUCGGAAUUACUGGGCGUAAAGCGUGCGCAGGCGGUUUGCUAAGACAGGUGUGAAAUCCCCGGGCUUAACCUGGGAACUGCGCUUGUAACUGGCAAGCUAGAGUGUGGCAGAGGGGGGUGGAAUUCCACGUGUAGCAGUGAAAUGCGUAGAGAUGUGGAGGAACACCGAUGGCGAAGGCAGCCCCCUGGGCUAACACUGACGCUCAUGCACGAAAGCGUGGGGAGCAAACAGG